AUGGCAGGUGAAGAAAACGAGUAUGAUGUUGAAGGAAAUGGGCAUCUCAAUCAGCCCGUCACACGGUUUCACUUCAACGCAUUACGUGAUCAUCUACACCAAGAGUUCAGAAACAACCUUGACCCAAUUGAAGAGAAACAAGACAAGUUGUCGAGAGAUUUGCAGCAACUUAUGGGUAAUGUUGAUGAGCAACUCACUCAGAACAUGGCAGCCAUGAGGACUGGUAUUGUUGUUGAUAUUGUGCAAGAGGUUCGUCAGAACCGAGAAGAUGCAAGUGUCCAUGGUGAAGAACAAAAUGUAACUGAUGGGGAAGGUGCUGCCUCCAAUGCACAAGCUAGAAGAAACCAUGCUCCUGCUCCCCAUGCCAUGAGACCUCCCGGUCCCGGACGUGGAAAUGAUCAUGGUAAUGGACGUGGUCAUCAUGAAGCUGCUGGUCGUGGUCUUAGAGGAGGUCACCGAAGAGCAAAUCCGCACCAUGAAGGUAGUGGAGAUGAGUUUGAUGAAGAUGAAGAUGGCAUGCACCAGAAUGACAGAUUUCAUCAUCGUAGAAACUAUGGUCAUGGACGGCAGGAGGAGGAGAGGUUUGGAAAGCUGAAAUUUACCAUGCCCAAGUUUGAUGUUGGAUCUGAUCCAGAGAGUUAUCUCACAUGGGAAUUGAAGGUUGACAAUAUUUUCCGCAUGCACAACUACUCAGAAGAGAAGAAACUAGCAAUGGCCUCACUUGAGUUUGAAGACUAUGCUCCAAUUUGGUGGGAGCAAGUUCAGAUUCAGCGAGAAGAAGAAGGAGACCUUGCUGUUGCUACAUGGACAGAAAUGAAAAGAGAGAUGAGGGAAAGAUUUGUCCCAAGGCAUUAUAGACGUGACAUCUUUGAUAAGCUCCAGAAUUUGAGGCAAGGAAAAUUAUCAGUUGAGGAGUAUCAUAAGGAGAUGGAGAAGGCAAUGAUAAGAGCCAACAUACAUGAAGAUGAGGAGCAGUCCAUGGCAAGGUUCCUCUAUGGGCUGAAUCCUAAUGUUAAACGAGUGGUUGAUUUGCAGCCAUAUUGUAAUGUGGUAGAGCUGGUACAUCUUGCUUCUAAGGUUGAACGUCAAUUGCAAGAAGACUCAAAGCAAAAUAGAACUACAUCCUUCACAGCUUGA
rnacentral:rRNA from 1 species